rnacentral:rRNA from 1 species
UACGGAGGGUCCAAGCGUUAUCCGGAUUCAUUGGGUUUAAAGGGUGCGUAGGCGGACUGAUAAGUCAGCGGUGAAAUCCCACGGCUCAACUGUGGAACCGCUGUCGUGAUACUGUUAGUCUUGAAUGCAGAUGAUGUGGGCGGAAUAUGACAUGUAGUGGUGAAAUACUUAGAUAUGUCAUAGAACACCGAUUGCGAAGGCAGCUCACAAAACUGUGAUUGACGCUGAGGCGCGAAAGCGUGGGGAUCAAACAGG